rnacentral:lncRNA from 1 species
UAAUUGCGAUUGAAAUUUUUAAAUACCCCGUAUUAAAAAAAAAAAAAAUGAAUCUUCGUAUUAAAUUUAUGUUGCACUUGGCAAAAGUUGGCACAUGUGAGAACCGAAAGCUGUUACGGAUUGUAUAUUUAUAUUUUUUCGGUAUGUUUCCAAACACGAUGAAAUGUCAUACUCCCGCGCUUAAAAUCUAGAAACACGUUCUUCUUUGGAUGUUUUUUUUUGUUUCCAUCUUACUGCUAAGAAAGGGAAAUUUCAUUCCUUUGGGGAAAUUUUUCCAAUCUGGCGUGUAGGAUUUUCUUCUCUGCCAAUCUUCGCCGCUCGCAUCGAUAUUCGGCCCCUCUCUGGAAAGAUCGCCGAAGGAAAUCUUUUUGGAGACGUUUCAUUUUCCGCUCCUUCACACUGUUAUUUACCUCUUCGCACUCUGCUGGCGCGUAACUUUGUUCCGUAGUUAAAGAGAUUCUAAGCGACGUCGGAGUAAAUGGCUCGAAUCCAAUCGGACAGAAGACAAUGCCGUCACACCGAGCCAGAAAGCUUCUAUUGGAGAGAACCUCCGUGUCGCGGCGCGAAAGCGUGUGAUGAACGACAAGCCGUUAGCGCGGUCAUAAAUCUGACGAUGGAUUCAAUUUAUCGCGAUGUUAUCCAUAAAUACUACAUCUCUUCAUGCCGAAUUUUAAUGUGGGAAAAUUCUGACGUCCCUUUAGUCCAAUUAUGAGUUCAUUCCUCCAGAAGCGACGUUCGGAGAUUUAUUUAUUUAAAGGGAAAAAUCGAUGUGAUAUAUAUAUAUAUAUAUUACUUAUAUAGCGAGAAUCCUGAUUUCUUUAGGCGAAUUUUAGGAAUAACU